AUUGAACGCUAGCGGCAGGCCUAACACAUGCAAGUCGGACGGUAGCACAGAGAGCUUGCUCUCGGGUGACGAGUGGCGGACGGGGGAGUAAUGUCUGGGAAACUGCCCGAUGGAGGGGGAUAACUACUGGAAACGGUAGCUAAUACCGCAUAACGUCUUCGGACCAAAGUGGGGGGCCUUCGGGCCUCACACCAUCGGAUGUGCCCAGAUGGGAUUAGCUAGUAGGUGGGGUAAUGGCUCACCUAGGCGACGAUCCCUAGCUGGUCUGAGAGGAUGACCAGCCACACUGGAACGGAGACACGGUCCAGACUCCUACGGGAGGCAGCAGUGGGGAAUAUUGCACAAUGGGCGCAAGCCUGAUGCAGCCAUGCCGCGUGUAUGAAGAAGGCCUUCGGGUUGUAAAGUACUUUCAGCGGGGAGGAAGGCGAUGAGGUUAAUAACCGCAUCGAUUGACGUUACCCGCAGAAGAAGCACCGGCUAACUCCGUGCCAGCAGCCGCGGUAA
rnacentral:rRNA from 1 species